GACGAACGCUGACGGCGUGCUUAACACAUGCAAGUCGAACGGAGCUAUUUAUUUCGGUAGAUAGCUUAGUGGCAAACGGGUGAGUAACGCGUAGGCAACCUGCCCUCAGGAUGGGGACAACGGCUCGAAAGAGCCGCUAAUACCGAAUGACGUAACUCUUCCACAUGGAAGAGAUACUAAAGAUGGGUCAAACCAUCGCCUAAGGAUGGGCCUGCGUCUGAUUAGCCAGUUGGUGAGGUAACGGCUCACCAAAGCGACGAUCAGUAGCCGGUCUGAGAGGAUGAACGGCCACAAUGGGACUGAGACACGGCCCAUACUCCUACGGGAGGCAGCAGUGGGGAAUCUUCCGCAAUGGGCGAAAGCCUGACGGAGCAACGCCGCGUGAGUGAAGAAGGUCUUCGGAUCGUAAAGCUCUGUUGUCGGGGACGAAAGAGUAGACGAGGAAAUGCGUCUACUAAGACGGUACCCGA
rnacentral:rRNA from 1 species